rnacentral:lncRNA from 1 species
CUGAGAUUCCGGGGCCCGGCGGCCGUGGGCAGCGGGUGCCCGUUAGGAACCGGGCAGUCGGCCUCCUCUCGUUACCCUUUGGGGGUUCUUUUUGUAAUAGAAGCAGAUUUAAAUCUUGCAAUCACUGCUGGGAAGUGAGCUGUAUCAUCCUGAGAAAUCAGACCAUAGAGACAGGCCUGCAGCUGGCAGCCUGGGUCAUCUUUAAUCGCUUAACCCUUCAUAUCAAAGAACGGCUUGUAGCAGCGGAUUCCUUCUCCAGAAUUUCCCAUGGCAGAUUUUCUCAAGGAAAAGCUGGCCUGGAUCAGCAAUGGAAUACCUGGACAGGUAACUCUUGUAAAUAUGAAUCCAGCUGACUGCUGACCACCAGGCAGAGGAUGGAAAGUUUGGUGUGAUGAUUAUGGCAACUAGGACCAGUGCUGAAGCUAUCACCUCUCCUACUGCCAGCAUUGUGCAAUGGUGUGCAAUGGUAUCAUCAGCCCACAAGACAGAAUGAUGAAGAAGCUUUUCUCCAUGGAGGUGGAAUCUGACUUAGCUCAUGACAUGGCCUAAUAGAACAGGAUGGAUGGGAGACACAUGGAGAGAGCCCCAGUCACUAGGGCUGCUACUGAGUCCAGACUUGUGUGACAGCAGCUGACAUAUCAUGGAAAGAGUGAGAGCCGAAACCUUGAGGGGGCUUCUGGAAAUUCUCAAGACCUCAAGAAACUGUGAAAAUCAUUGACUCAGAAGAAGUGAGAUAUUUAAAUGUCCAUGUAGGAUAGACAAAAAUGGGAUAAUGACAGGAAGAAAAAUUGAACACAUUCUACUUAUUUCAAAGAGGCAAUGAAUGAGAAUGAGGAGGUGGCUCAGAAAUUAAUAAAUGUAAUAGCUACAACUCAUAGGACUGGUAGAAAGAAAGGGAGGACAUGUUGUUAUUGGGGCCAAAAGGUACUGAGCAAAGGCCAUCUCGUUAGUGCUAGAACUUUGAAGAGGGACAUCAUGGCUGCGUCCAGGGUGGUAGAUGCCUCCUAUGAUGCCUCUAGGGAUUGAGAAGCAUAGCUCCUCCCCUAUUCCUGUCUCUGACCCUACCAAUACCUCCUACUGGCUACAGGAAGCCACAGGGAAAGACAGACUCCAGCCCUGGCAUUACUGAGCAGAAUUAAAAAGAGCAGGGGUGAGCAGUGCAGA